rnacentral:sRNA from 1 species
CCGGGGUGGCCGCGCCCCCUUCCCACCUGUCCUGGGCCCGUGUAGCUCCGGGGCGUCCCGGCCAGACCCUCCCCGCUUUCCGCGGCCUGGGGCGGCGCCUCCCGCAGGGCCCUUCCCGCUGCCCCGCCUGUGCCCUGGCGGGCCCCGUGCGGCUGAGACCAAGGGCGCGCCCCUCUCCCGGCUCCCGGUCUCCGUGCGGGGCGAGGCUCCUGGGGGUCUGCACACCCACCGCACUGACGGCGCCCCCGCAGGUCAUCCAGCGGAUCUUCUACGCCGUGAACCGGUCCUGGUCCGGCAGGAUCACCUGCGCCGAGCUGCGGAAGAGCUCCUUCCUGCAGAAUGUGGCGCUGCUGGAGGAGGAGGAGGACAUCAACCAGCUGACCGAAUUCUUCUCGUACGAGCAUUUCUACGUCAUCUACUGCAAGUUCUGGGAGCUGGACACGGACCACGACCUGCUCAUCGACGCGGACGACCUGGCGCGGCACAAUGACCACGCCAUUUCUACCAAGAUGAUAG